rnacentral:rRNA from 1 species
GUCGAGUGCGCAGCUUCCUGUAGCAAUACAGGGAGUGGGCGCACGGCGCACGGGUGAGUAACACGUGGGCAAUCUGCCCUCGGAUGGGGGAUAACUCGUCGAAAGGCGAGCUAAUACCGCAUGACAUUCCGAAGACUCCGGUCUUUGGAUUCAAAGGCCGCAAGGCCGUCUGAGGAGGAGCCCGCGCCCGAUUAGCUAGUUGGUGAGGUAACGGCUCACCAAGGCUUUGAUCGGUAGCCGGUCUGAGAGGAUGGCCGGCCACACUGGAACUGAGACACGGUCCAGACUCCUACGGGAGGCAGCAGUGGGGAAUAUUGCGCAAUGGGCGAAAGCCUGACGCAGCGACGCCGCGUGGGGGAUGAAGCUUCUCGGAGUGUAAACCCCUUUCGACCCGGACGAAUGACCCGCAAGGGUUUGACGGUACGGGUAUAAGUAGCCCCGGCUAACUACGUGCCAGCAGCCGCGGUAAUACGUAGGGGGCCAGCGUUGCUCGGAAUUACUGGGCGUAAAGGGUUCGUAGGUGGUGCGGCAAGUUGGAAGUGAAAUCUCUGGGCUUAACCCAGAGGCUGCCUUCAAAACUGCCGCGCUCGAGUGCGAGAGAGGUCAGUGGAAUUGCAGGUGUAGCGGUGAAAUGCGUAGAUAUCUGCAGGAACACCCGUGGCGAAGGCGGCUGACUGGAUCGCAACUGACACUGAGGAACGAAAGCUAGGGGAGCAAACAGGAUUAGAUACCCUGGUAGUCCUAGCCCUAAACCAUCAGAACUUGGGGUGGCCCGCGU